AACCCUUUAAUUUUUUGGGUUAAAAUCGCCCAUUUUUGGGUCAUUUUUGCUUCAAAAUUAUACAUUUUUAGCAACGACUGAAUAAAUUUGUUCCAUUUUGGUCAAUUUCUGCCAUUUUUGGGUCAAUUUUUACCAUUUUGGGUUCAAAUUUUGGCCAUUUUUGGGUCAUUUUUGACCUUUAUUUUGGUUAAAAUCGCCCAUUUUUGGGUCAUUUUGGGUCAAAAUUGCCAUUUUUAGCAACGAUUGAAUCAAUUUGUGCCAUUUUGGGUCAAUUUUUACCAUUUUGGGUCAUUUCUGCCUUUGGGUCAAUUUUGCCCAUUUUGGGUCAUUUUUGACCCUUUAAUUUUUGGGUUAAAAUCGUCCAUUUUUGGGUCAUUUUGGUCAAAUUGCCAUUUUUAGCAACGAUUGAAUAAAUUUGGUGCCAUUUUGGGCAAUUUCUGCCAUUUUUGGGUCAAAUUUCUGCCAUUUUUGGGUCAAUUUUUGGCCCAUUUUGGGUCAUUUUUGGCCCUUUAAUUUUUGGGUUAAAAUCGCCCAUUUUUGGUCAUUUUGGGUCAAAAUUGACAUUUUUAACAUCUUACAUUAAAUAUUGUUCAUUUUUGGGUCAAUUUUCUGCCAUUAUUGGGUUCAAUUUUGGCCCAUUUUGGGUCAUUUUUGACCCUUUAUUUUUGGGUUAAAAUCGCCCAAUUUGGUCAUUUUGGGUCAAAAUUGACAUUUUUAGCAACGAUUGAAUAAAUUUGUUCAUUUUUGGGUCAAUUUUCUGCCAUUUUUGGGUCAAUUUCUGCCAUUUUGGGGUCAAUUUUUGGCCCAUUUUGGGUCAUUUUUGACCUUUAAUUUUGGGUUAAAAAUCGCCCAUUUUUGGGUCAUUUUGGGUCAAAAUUGACAUUUUUAACAUCUACAUUAAUAUUUGUUCAUUUUUGGUCAAUUUUCUGCCAUUUUUGGGUCAAUUUCUGCCAUUUUUGGGUCAAUUUUGGCCCAUUUUGGGUCAUUUUUGGGUCUAUUCAUUUUUGGGUUAAAAUCGCCCAUUUUUGGUCAUUUUGGGUCAAAAUUGACAUUUUUAACAUCUACAUUAAAUAUUUGUUCAUUUUUGGGUCAAUUUCUGCCAUUUUUGGGUCAAUUUCUGCCAUUUUUGGGUCAAUUUUGGCCCAUUUUGGGUCAUUUUGGACCCUUGAAUUUUUGGGUUAAAAUCGCCCAUUUUUGGGUCAUUUGCGGUCAAAUAUUGCCAUUUUUAGGCAACGAUUGAAUAAUUUGCGGCCAUUUUGGGUCAAUUCUCUGCAUUUUGGGUCAUUUUGGGUCAUUUUGGGUCAUUUUGGCCCUUUAAUUUUUGGGUUAAAAAUCGCCCAUUUUUGGGUCAUUUGGGUCAAAUAUUGCCAUUUUUAGCAACGAUUGAAUCAAUUUGUUCCUUUUUGGGUCAAUUUCUGCCCAUUUUUUUGGGUCAAUUUGUGCCAUUUUUGGGUCAAUUUUGGGUCAUUUUGGGUCAUUUUUGACCCUUUAAUUUUUGGGUUAAAAUCGCCCAUUUUUGGGUCAUUUUGGGUCAAAAUUGCCAUUUUUAGCAACGAUUGAAUAAAUUUGGGCCCAUUUUGGGUCA
rnacentral:lncRNA from 1 species